AUUAUAUUUAAAGCCUACAUCAUAUAAAUCUACUUCGAAGCCAUUUUGUAGAGAGCAGAAGUAUUUUCCUAAAACAAUUUUUAAAGUUGGACAACUACGCACGAGUCCUGUCUGCUUUAGAGUUUUUUGAAAAUCUUCGAAGAAAAUUAAUUUUAGAAUCUACUGAUCGGCAGCGGCUAACUUCUUUUUUAACGAGUGAACGUUCGGGAAUUAAUUAUUUACUUGAAAUUCGUCAAUCGCGAAUUGCGAACCGUGUGCGCCGCGAGAAAUUUUUAAUCCGCCGCAUUGAGAAAAAAUCUAAAAUGUCGGAUCCCAUUUUCAUUUCGGAAAAAGUAGAAUUCUGUGUGAAGACGAUUCUCGACUUUCAAGAUUUCCUUUCCUCUCGAUCUUUUUUAAAUUUCGUUUGUUCUAUUACUUCACUCGAUUUAGAAAAAUCUAAUUUCUGGCUCAACCGAUAUACUAACGGGGACUACACGUUGCUUACGGACGACCAGCAUUGCGAAUCUAAAAAUUUUCUGCAUUUUAUUUUUUAUAGCUUAUUAAAAAAAGACAAGUUUAUGCC